AAUAAACACUUUAUCCUUGAG
rnacentral:miRNA from 15 species